rnacentral:pre_miRNA from 1 species
GCAAUGGGGGAUCGCCGCUACGUUGCUUUCACUUGGUGGUGCGUACUUACAGCCAUAUAGGAUCCAUGUGAUGUGACGUAGUGGUACCCUCCCAUUU